GCUCAAGAUAAGUGAAAAAAAAAAAAAGAUUUUUUAAUCAUUUUAAUGCGAUAUUGACUAGGUGUGAGUUUAUUGUAGAUAUAUUUUUAUUUUCUGAUAACUUCAAAUCCGUCAAUAGCAGACAAGAGAAUAAUAAGGAUCUGUAGAAAAUUUCGAUCGGCACGAACUCGCACAACCUCGCUCCACGUUUAAUUACUAUUAAUCAUUAUAUUCAUGCUCCGUCGCGACAUUGUUUAUUGCGUGUAAAGAAUACGAGUAAGUUAUGAAGUAAACCAGAGAUGGUUAAUCGCAUAUUGUUAUUGCGCAACUGCUGUUCGUGAGCGCAGAGGACAAAGAUGAUGAUCCCGAUAAUCCCAACAUGAAGGCAUAAAGAGAGGCGGCAUGCAAAUAACGCUAGGUGUUACGGGGGCAGGUAACGGAAAGUUGUUGCAACAGCGGACAUACUUCAACUAAGGGAGUUCCCAGAAUUUCUUGACACACUUGGUUCAUGUCUGGCUCCAUCAUGAGUGAAGAGAUCUGAUCCUCCGUUAACAUCUCCACACUAAUAAAAAAUGUAUUAAUAAAAAAG